rnacentral:lncRNA from 1 species
GGGUAACAAGGGUGCUUCAGGGGUGUCUGCAAAGGAGCUCUGCUUCACAGCAGUGUUCCCUUCUUUUAGGGGUCUAGCCCAGCAGCUGGUGGACCCAGCCCGGCCAGGAGAUUUCAACCAAGCAGCCAUGGAGCUAGGGGCCACAGUGUGUACCCCACAGCGCCCACUGUGCAGCCAGUGCCCUGUGGAGAGCCUGUGCCGGGCACGCCAGAGAGUGGAGCAGGAACAGCUCUUAGCCUCAGGGAGCCUGUCGGGCAGUCCUGACGUGGAGGAGUGUGCUCCCAACACUGGACAGUGCCACCUGUGCCUGCCUCCCUCGGAGCCCUGGGACCAGACCCUGGGAGUGGUCAACUUCCCC